CUGCUGCUGCUGCUUCAGCACUUUGCAACAUCUCUACUGUGCCUACUGCUACCACCAGUACUAGCAGUAACUACUGACAGUAGUAGUGUGAGUAACAGUAGCUGUACUCACUGGUAGUACUCAAACUGCUACUGUUACUAGAUUGGAAAGGCUCCACCCGCUGCACACCUGAGCUGGAUUAACAGACGGAAACUGAUGAACAUCAACAACAGCAGCUGGAGGCAAAAAGAAAAUAUUAAAGGAUGAAUACACAGAAUAAUUAAUUAGUAAAAAUCUCUGGCAAUGACCUGACAUUUGCAUUAAAAUACUGUACCUGUAGUCAUGUCUGCAGGCGUCUGCAGAAAUAAAUCCAGUCUUCACUUUGUCCAUCAAUAAUAAUCAUUCUGACCAAAAACCACAGUGUGAUGUUCUUUAGUUUAAAUCAAAGAAACUCACAAACACAACUCUGAGAUGAACUCUGAAAAAUCUGCAUCUUAGUUUUCAUGUAUGCAGAUAUGACUUAUUUAAAAAUGACAAACAUUACACAAAGAUUUCACAGACGCAACAAAAAUAGACAGAGAUACAAUUUCUACAGACAAACGACAAGAAUGGCUCACAAAAUCUACGUAUUUAUCCUGUUCUGUGAGUAUUUGAAAUGGAGAGAAACGGGUGUAAAGGGUUUUCCAUCUGGUAAAGUAUAUAAUACAAUAAUGAUGAUAAUUGUGGUAGUUCUGAUAAUAUGGUUUUAUAAGUUGGUGUGUAUGUUUUACUAUAUAAUUAAUAGAAUAAAGAGUACUGCUGCUGAUGGAAACACUGGACUGUGACAAAACUAGUCGUAGUACAGUAGGCUAGAAUAUGCUCAUGAAGCAAACAGCUGGUCAGGUUUAACCGCAGCGUGGCAGGUUUGAUCAGAUUCCAAUUAUCAGAUAUUCAAAUGAAUUUCUUCACAAAUUCCUGACCUUCAUUUAAUCACUGCGGACAAACAGAAUCUGGGAAUCAUCUCUGAGUCUUUGCACAGAAGCAAAAAUAGCAGAAAUAAGGUCUGGGGCCCAACAUUAAAUCUGCUGUGGCCCCUGAAAAGCUCAUUUCUCCCUCCUGUGUUUGCCUGCAGCCUCUCAGACUCUGCUGCUGGAACUCUUCCUGCCUCUAACUGUCUGCAGACUCCAGCUCUCCUCGGUGCUUCACUGCCCCCUGGUGUCCAAACUCAGAGCUGCAGGUUGUUUCCUCUUCAUCGCUCACAUUUAAAGUUAGUUUUGAUCAAAAUAACUUAAGAUUAUAAAUAAAGUGUUGUUCUGUGAGCUGA